rnacentral:misc_RNA from 1 species
GCACUUCAGAAAGAAAGAAGAGCUAAUUCUGUAGAUAGCAGAAUAAGCACUCCUAACCCAGGAUUAAUAUCACAGAGUUCUGACCUAUCUGACAUUACAGAAUCUCCCAAAUCCUGCAAUCUGAGUGUAAGUCAAACUUCGAAUGAGACAACAUGUAUGUAUUUUCACGUUGUAGCUAUAGACUCUGGGGUUCCCCGAAGA